AGCAGUAGCCGCGGGAAUACGUAGGUGGCAAGCGUUGUCCGGAAUUAUUGGGCGUAAAGGGAUCGCAGGCGGUUUCUUAAGUCUGAUGUGAAAGCCCCCGGCUCAACCGGGGAGGGUCAUUGGAAACUGGGAAACUUGAGUGCAGAAGAGGAGAGUGGAAUUCCACGUGUAGCGGUGAAAUGCGUAGAGAUGUGGAGGAACACCAGUGGCGAAGGCGACUCUCUGGUCUGUAACUGACGCUGAGGAGCGAAAGCGUGGGGAGCGAACAGGAUUAGAUACCCCUGUAGUCCCUGUCUCUUAUAC
rnacentral:rRNA from 1 species